rnacentral:rRNA from 1 species
GAUGAACGCUGGCGGCGUGCCUAAUACAUGCAAGUCGAGCGAACGGACGAGAAGCUUGCUUUUCUGAUGUUAGCGGCGGACGGGUGAGUAACACGUGGAUAACCUACCUAUAAGACUGGGAUAACUUCGGGAAACUGGCGCUAAUACCGGAUGAUAUUUUGAACCGCAUGGUUCAAAAGUGAAAGACGGUCUUGCUGUCACUAAUAGAUGGAUCCGCGCUGCAUUAGCUAGUUGGUAAGGUAACGGCUUACCAAGGCAACGAUGCAUAGCCGACCUGAGAGGGGGUCCGGCCACCCUGGAACUGAGACACGGUCCAAACUCCUACGGGAGGCAGCAGUAGGAAAUCUUCCGCAAUGAGCGAAAGCCUGACGGAGCAACGCCGCGUGGGUGAUGAAGUUCUUCGGUUCGUAAAACUCUGUGAUUAGGGAGGAACAUAUGUGUAAGGAACUGUGCACAUCGUGACGGUACCUAAUCAGAAAGCCACGGCUAACUACGUG